rnacentral:rRNA from 1 species
AGAGUUUGAUCAUGGCUCAGGACGAACGCUGGCGGCGUGCUUAACACAUGCAAGUCGAACGAGACGAUUGAAAGCUUGCUUUUGAAAGUCGAGUGGCAAACGGGUGAGUAACGCGUAGACAACCUGCCGUAAAGAUGGGGACAACAGUCCGAAAGGACUGCUAAUACCGAAUGUUGUAAAUCUUCCGCAUGGAAGACUUACUAAAGGUGGCCUCUACUUGUAAGCUAUCGCUUUACGAUGGGUCUGCGUCUGAUUAGCUGGUUGGUGGGGUAACGGCCUACCAAGGCGACGAUCAGUAGCCGGUAUGAGAGGAUGAACGGCCACAUUGGAACUGAGACACGGUCCAGACUCCUACGGGAGGCAGCAGUGGGGAAUCUUCCGCAAUGGGCGCAAGCCUGACGGAGCAACGCCGCGUGAGUGAAGAAGGGUUUCGACUCGUAAAGCUCUGUUGUCGGGGACGAACGUGGAGACGGCAAAUAGUCGUUUCCAAUGACGGUACCUGACGAGGAAGCCACGGCUAACUACGUGCCAGCAGCCGCGGUAAUACGUAGGUGGCGAGCGUUGUCCGGAAUUAUUGGGCGUAAAGGGAGCGCAGGCGGGAAGGUAAGUCUAUCUUAAAAGUGCGGGGCUCAACCCCGUGAGGGGAUGGAAACUAUCUUUCUUGAGUGCAGGAGAGGAAAGCGGAAUUCCUAGUGUAGCGGUGAAAUGCGUAGAUAUUAGGAGGAACACCAGUGGCGAAGGCGGCUUUCUGGACUGUAACUGACACUGAGGCUCGAAAGCGUGGGGAGCGAACAGGAUUAGAUACCCUGGUAGUCCACGCCGUAAAUGAUGAAUGCUAGGUGUAGGAGGUAUCGACCCCUUCUGUGCCGGAGUUAACGCAAUAAGCAUUCCGCCUGGGGAGUACGGCCGCAAGGCUGAAACUCAAAGGAAUUGACGGGGGCCCGCACAAGCGGUGGAGUAUGUGGUUUAAUUCGACACAACGCGAAGAACCUUACCAGGGCUUGACAUUGAGUGAAAGGACAAGAGAUUGUCCCCUCUCUUCGGAGACACGAAAACAGGUGGUGCAUGGCUGUCGUCAGCUCGUGUCGUGAGAUGUUGGGUUAAGUCCCGCAACGAGCGCAACCCUUAUCCUUUGUUGCCAGCACGUUAUGGUGGGAACUC